GCCACCAGGGAGAUACCCACUGC
rnacentral:sRNA from 1 species